rnacentral:tRNA from 2 species
GCCCAGGUGGUGGAAUCGGUAGACACGCAGGACUUAAAAUCCUGUGGACCUAAAAGUCCGUGCGGGUUCGAGUCCCGCCCCGGGCA